rnacentral:rRNA from 1 species
CCUACGGGGGGCAGCAGUGAGGAAUAUUGGUCAAUGGACGCAAGUCUGAACCAGCCAUGCCGCGUGCAGGAAGACGGCUCUAUGAGUUGUAAACUGCUUUUGUACGAGGGUAAACGCAGAUACGCGUGUCUGUCUGAAAGGAUCUUACGAAUAAGGAUCGGCUAACUCCGUGCCAGCAGCCGCGGUCAUACGGAGGAUUCAAGCGUUAUCCGGAUUUAUUGGGUUUAAAGGGUGCGUAGGCGGUCGGAUAAGUUAGGGGGGAAAUCCCGAGGCGCAACUUCGGAAUUGCCUCUGAUACUGUUCGGCUAGAGAGUAGUUGCGGUAGGCGGAAUGUAUGGUGUAGCGGUGAAAUGCUUAGAGAUCAUACAGAACACCGAUUGCGAAGGCAGCUUACCAAGCUACGUCUGACGUUGAGGCACGAAAGCGUGGGGAGCAAACAGGAUUAGAUACCCUGGUAGUC